rnacentral:misc_RNA from 1 species
UUAAGUUCAGCGGGUAUCCCUACCUGAUCCGAGGUCAACCAUAGAAAGUUAGGGGUUACUGGCCAGCGUCCACCGGAACUCAACAGCGAGAAGAAUUACUACGCUGAGAGCACGAUGGCGCCGCCACUCUUUUUGAGGCCCGCCGUUGCCGGCACGGCCCAAGACCAAGCGGUGCUUGAGGGUUGAAAUGACGCUCGAAC